UCCUACGGGAGGCAGCAGUGAGGAAUAUUGGUCAAUGGACGCAAGUCUGAACCAGCCAUGUCGCGUGCAGGAUGACGGCCCUAUGGGUUGUAAACUGCUUUUCUACAGGAAGAAACCGGGCUACGUGUAGCCUUUUGCCUGUACUGUAGGAAUAAGCAUCGGCUAACUCCGUGCCAGCAGCCGCAGUAAUACGGAGGAUGCGAGCGUUAUCCGGAUUCAUUGGGUUUAAAGGGUACGUAGGCGGUAUUGUAAAUCAGUGGUGAAAAGCUAUAGCUCAACUAUAGUCGUGCCAUUGAAACUGUAGUACUUGAGUGUAGUUGAAGCAGGCGGAAUGUGUUAUGUAGCGGUGAAAUGCAUAGAUAUAACACAGAACACCGAUAGCGAAGGCAGCUUGCUAAACUAUAACUGACGCUGAUGUACGAAAGCGUGGGUAGCGAACAGGAUUAGAUACCCUGGUAGUCCACGCCGUAAACGAUGAUAACUGGUUGUUGGCGAUACAUAGUCAGUGACUGAGCGAAAGUAUUAAGUUAUCCACCUGGGGAGUACGUUGGCAACAAUGAAACUCAAAUGAAUUGACGG
rnacentral:rRNA from 1 species